rnacentral:rRNA from 1 species
UGGGGGAUAUUGCACAAUGGGCGAAAGCCUGAUGCAGCGACGCCGCGUGGGGGAUGAAGGCCUUCGGGUUGUAAACUUCUUUUGCUCUGAACAAGGCAUGCUUUUGGGGUGUGUUGAGUGUAGGGGUUGAUUAGCGUCGGCUAACUACGUGCCAGCAGCCGCGGUAAUACGUAGGGCGCGAGCGUUGUCCGGAAUUAUUGGGCGUAAAGGGCUUGUAGGUGGCUUGUUGCGUCUGUCGUGAAAGCUCAUGGCUUAACUGUGGGUUUGCGGUGCGUACGCGCUGGCUUGAGUGCAGUAGGGGAGGCUGGAAUUCCUGGUGUAGCGGUGGAAUGCGCAGAUAUCAGGAGUAAUACCGGUGGCGAAGGCUGGUCUCUAGGCUGUUACUGACGCUGAGGAGCGAAAGCGUGGGGAGCGAACAGG